UGGGGGGGGGCUCUGGAAACCGGGGUGCUGGUGUUAGUGUUAUUUGGGGAGCUGAGCCAGAGCCGUGGGUGGACUUGCUAAAGAUCCCACCAUCUACCCAAACAGCAGUGGGCGUGGCUUUUGCUCUGAAAGCUUUUCCUGUAACUUCCAACUUCUGACUUAACCCCUGCCAACAGCGUGUCACAGUGAGGAGUUUCGGAGAGAAAGAGCUGUAACAAGAGGUGCGUCAUUAACUUUGAAAACAGAAUAAAACUUUUAAAAUGGUGUUAAUGAAUAAAUUCUGACUCUAAAUUCUAGUUUAUGGGAGGAAAAGAAAUGACCUCUUC
rnacentral:lncRNA from 1 species